rnacentral:rRNA from 1 species
UAACUGAAGAGUUUGAUCAUGGCUCAGAUUGAACGCUGGCGGCAGGCUUAACACAUGCAAGUCGAGCGGGGGAAGGUAGCUUGCUACCGGACCUAGCGGCGGACGGGUGAGUAAUGCUUAGGAAUCUGCCUAUUAGUGGGGGACAACAUCUCGAAAGGGAUGCUAAUACCGCAUACGUCCUACGGGAGAAAGCAGGGGAUCUUCGGACCUUGCGCUAAUAGAUGAGCCUAAGUCGGAUUAGCUAGUUGGUGGGGUAAAGGCCUACCAAGGCGACGAUCUGUAGCGGGUCUGAGAGGAUGAUCCGCCACACUGGGACUGAGACACGGCCCAGACUCCUACGGGAGGCAGCAGUGGGGAAUAUUGGACAAUGGGGGGAACCCUGAUCCAGCCAUGCCGCGUGUGUGAAGAAGGCCUUAUGGUUGUAAAGCACUUUAAGCGAGGAGGAGGCUACUCUAGUUAAUACCUAGAGAUAGUGGACGUUACUCGCAGAAUAAGCACCGGCUAACUCUGUGCCAGCAGCCGCGGUAAUACAGAGGGUGCGAGCGUUAAUCGGAUUUACUGGGCGUAAAGCGUGCGUAGGCGGCUUAUUAAGUCGGAUGUGAAAUCCCCGAGCUUAACUUGGGAAUUGCAUUCGAUACUGGUGAGCUAGAGUAUGGGAGAGGAUGGUAGAAUUCCAGGUGUAGCGGUGAAAUGCGUAGAGAUCUGGAGGAAUACCGAUGGCGAAGGCAGCCAUCUGGCCUAAUACUGACGCUGAGGUACGAAAGCAUGGGGAGCAAACAGGAUUAGAUACCCUGGUAGUCCAUGCCGUA